rnacentral:rRNA from 1 species
UACAUAGACUGCAAGCGUUAUUCGGAUUCACUGGGCGUAAAGGGUGCGCAGGCGGCUAAGUGUGUCAGAUGUGAAAUCCCGAGGCUCAACCUCGGAACUGCGUCUGAAACUACUUGGCUAGAGUAUUGGAGAGGGUAACGGAAUUCACGGUGUAGCAGUGAAAUGCGUAGAUAUCGUGAGGAACACCAGAGGCGAAGGCGGUUACCUGGACAAUUACUGACGCUCAGGCACGAAAGCGUGGGGAGCAAAAGGG